UAAUACGUAGGGGGCGAGCGUUGUCCGGAAUGAUUGGGCGUAAAGGGCGCGUAGGCGGCCCGGUAAGUCUGGAGUGAAAGUCCUGCUUUUAAGGUGGGAAUUGCUUUGGAUACUGUCGGGCUUGAGUGCAGGAGAGGUAAGUGGAAUUCCCAGUGUAGCGGUGAAAUGCGUAGAGAUUGGGAGGAACACCAGUGGCGAAGGCGACUUACUGGACUGUAACUGACGCUGAGGCGCGAAAGUGUGGGGAGCAAACAGGAUUAGAUACCCUGGUAGUCCACACUGUAAACGAUGAAUGCUAGGUGUAGGGGGUAUCGACCCCUUCUGUGCCGCAGUCAACACAAUAAGCAUUCCGCCUGGGGAGUACGGCCGCAAGGUUGAAACUCAAAGGAAUUGACGGGGGCCCGCACAAGCAGCGGAGCAUGUGGUUUAAUUCGACGCAACGCGAAGAACCUUACCAGGUCUUGACAUCCACUUAAAGCCAUAGAGAUAUGGUGUGAGCUUGCUCGAAGUGAGACAGGUGGUGCAUGGUUGUCGUCAGCUCGUGUCGUGAGAUGUUG
rnacentral:rRNA from 1 species